UACGGAGGUCUCAAGCGUUGUUCGGAUUCAUUGGGCGUAAAGGGUGCGUAGGUGGUGGGGUAAGUCGGAUGUGAAAUCCCGGGGCUCAACCCCGGAACUGCAUUCGAUACUGCCUUGCUCGAGUACUGGAGAGGAGACUGGAAUUUACGGUGUAGCAGUGAAAUGCGUAGAUAUCGUAAGGAAGACCAGUGGCGAAGGCGAGUCUCUGGACAGUUACUGACACUGAGGCACGAAGGCCAGGGGAGCAAACGGG
rnacentral:rRNA from 1 species